CCUACGGGUGGCAGCAGUGAGGAAUAUUGGUCAAUGGACGCAAGUCUGAACCAGCCAUGCCGCGUGCAGGAAGACGGCUCUAUGAGUUGUAAACUGCUUUUGUACGAGGGUAAACGCAGAUACGCGUAUCUGUCUGAAAGUAUCGUACGAAUAAGGAUCGGCUAACUCCGUGCCAGCAGCCGCGGUAAUACGGAGGAUUCAAGCGUUAUCCGGAUUUAUUGGGUUUAAGGGGUGCGUAGGCGGUUCGAUAAGUUAGAGGUGAAAUCCCGGGGCUCAACUCCGGCACUGCCUCUGAUACUGUCGGGCUAGAGUUUAGUUGCGGUAGGCGGAAUGUAUGGUGUAGCGGUGAAAUGCAUAGAGAUCAUACAGAACACCGAUUGCGAAGGCAGCAUGCCGGCUCCACACUGACGCUGAGGCACGAAAGCGUGGGUAUCGAACAGGAUUAGAUACCCUUGUAGUC
rnacentral:rRNA from 1 species